UUGGUGUCAAUACUAGAAACACAUGAGCACAAAGAAAACAGAUGUAAUUGGCUUCUGGAGGUCAGGUUAUGUAAAGACCCCGGUGAACAGAGGCAGACGAGCCGGAAGAAAUGUGGUUGGUGCAUAACUGGCACUGGGGUCGUGGUGGCUACAAAAGCAGAUGAUGGUUUUCAUUGCUUUGAGUUCUGCUCCUGGCUCUGUGAGUUAAUAGCCAAUGGACUUGAGCUUUCUGAUCAAGCACCCACUGAGUGAAUGAGAAUCAUAGAAUGGUUUUUGAGUUGGAAGGAACCCCUAAAGGCCAUCCAAAGGCAAUGAACAGGAACAUCCACAGCUCCAUCACGUGCUCAGAGCACUGUCCAGACUGACCUUGGGUGUCUGCAGGGAUGGAGUAUCUACACCAAUAUGGGCAAAUCCUGGAGUUUUAUUGCUCACUUUUCUUUUUCCUAAUGCAACCACUCUAGAAACAGACCUAUUUGAAGAGCAUAAAAAAAUGAUAAUCCAACCCAAUUUUUCCAGUGGAGGAUUCUCCUAGUAUAAGAGAUAUACCAAGAAGUUGAAGUUACUUGUACAAACUUCCAGCCCUAAUCAGUGUCUGGGACAGGUUGUGUUCAUGAUGUGAAGAGCCAGCUGUUUGCUGGUCCUUGGAUAGAAUAUGGUCUUGUUGGAGAGGUUUUGUGUAGCUUUGGGCUAUGUUAAGAGCCAUAAGAGACAGAGAUGUAAUCAUUUCCCCAACUCCUCUCCCCAUAUCAGGGAGAACUUGGCUGAGCCAAGAGAACAUGGCCCUUGCUGUGAGCAACACUGUGGUUUACAAAAUAAAACUAAUGUUGGACUAUCUAGGAAAAAUCACACUUAUUAUGAGCCUGUCUCAAACCUGCUUUGUGCCAAGGGAUAGUGAGGGGAUAGCUGCAGAGGAAUCUGUGUGGGAAGGGGGACAGGUACCUGAUCUCCUAUGAUUAACUUGACAAAUGUCUUCCUGGCCUCUAUCCAUUUCCUUGUGGAGAUACAGCUUUGGAUGCGUUCAAAAUGACCUACUUUUCACUGCUGGCCAGCAUCUUACUGCUGCCUUGUUUUUGUUGGACUUUUUUCCUGCAUUUGUGCAUGAGAUUUCUGUCCUGUGGCAGAUUGCUGGCCUUGAGAUGGAGUACAGGACAUCUCUGACUGCUCACGUGCAGAUGGUGACAAAGCACUGCACUUUGAGCUAUCUAUCCACUGAUGAUUUCAGAAUGCUUUAAAGACUAUUCUAUUCUCUUCUGUUCCCAGUGCUGUGCGCAGUAGUUGAGCCCUGUGCAGAGCUCCUAAAUAAAUAAAUAUGCUAUGUGUGAAGGAUGCUGCUAUUCCUGUUAAAAAUAACCUCAGCUUUUACUGCAGUGGCUCAGACAGGUGGCACCAAGGGCCUUUUCUGCAGCCAGCAUUUGCCUGGGGCUUGGACAGCCAAUUUGGUGCAUCCUGCUCAAAUCAAUGGGGAUCUUAAUGUACUCUUAAAACAUGUUUGGGACUUUAUGAGUUUCCAUCCUGCUCAAGAUAGCCACAGAUAUUUAUAAAAUAUGUACUAGAAUAACAGAGAGAUGGGGAGUGUAGGCUCAUUUAAGGUGUUACAAAUGACUCUACAAAUCUGUUAAGCCAGAAGCAGCCUCAGGUAAUAAGGGCAUUAGAGAAUCAUGAUGGAAUUGCAAAAUGUAACCCAGAGUGGAUAAAUAGAGAAAUUAUUAUAUUUAAUGUUGAUUUUCCUAUUGGACAUGUCAUUUCCAAUUUACUAGGGGAAUAGUUCAUUAUUUAUCUCCUGUUAUGUGCAAACAUGAAGGACAGACAAAGGUCUGUAGAGGUCUCUUUAUUAGCCCAGCAAUGUUGAUGGCUAUUCAGUCAUGUUAGAAGCUAAAAUAUUUUCUUCAAAUGCUGUGUUUGCCAAGUGCAAAGUGAGCUGACAUCUGCUUGGCUGCAGCUGGGGUCACAUAUGAAGCAGUGCCUAAA